rnacentral:rRNA from 1 species
AGUGAACGCUGGCGGUAGGCCUAACACAUGCAAGUCGAACGGCAGCACAGUAAGAGCUUGCUCUUACGGGUGGCGAGUGGCGGACGGGUGAGGAAUACAUCGGAAUCUACUUUUUCGUGGGGGGUAACGUAGGGAAACUUACGCUAAUACCGCAUACGACCUACGGGUGAAAGCAGGGGAUCUUCGGACCUUGCGCGAGUGAAUGAGCCGAUGUCGGAUUAGCUAGUUGGCGGGGUAAAGGCCCACCAAGGCGACGAUCCGUAGCUGGUCUGAGAGGAUGAUCAGCCACACUGGAACUGAGACACGGUCCAGACUCCUACGGGAGGCAGCAGUAGGGAAUAUUGGGCAAUGGGCGCAAGCCUGAUCCAGCCAUACCGCGUGAGUGAAGAAGGCCUUCGGGUUGUAAAGCCCUUUUGUUGGGAAAGAAAAGCAGCAGGUUAAUACGCCGCUGUUCUGACGGUACCCAAAGAAUAAGCACCGGCUAACUUCGUG